rnacentral:rRNA from 1 species
GAACUCGGCAAAAUGACCCCGUAACUUCGGGAGAAGGGGUGCUCUUUGGGGUGAAGAGCCCUGAAGAGCCGCAGUGAAAAGGCCCAAGCGACUGUUUAUCAAAAACACAGGUCUCUGCGAAGCCGAAAGGCGACGUAUAGGGGCUGACACCUGCCCGGUGCUGGAAGGUUAAGGGGAGCGCUUAGCGGAAGCGAAGGUGCGAACCGAAGCCCCAGUAAACGGCGGCCGUAACUAUAACGGUCCUAAGGUAGCGAAAUUCCUUGUCGGGUAAGUUCCGACCCGCACGAAAGGUGUAACGACUUGGGCGCUGUCUCAACGAGAGACCCGGUGAAAUUAUACUACCUGUGAAGAUGCAGGUUACCCGCGACAGGACGGAAAGACCCCGUGGAGCUUUACUGCAGCCUGAUAUGGAAUUUUGGUAUCGCUUGUACAGGAUAGGUGGGAGCCUGGGAAGCCGGAGCGCCAGCUUCGGUGGAGGCGGCGGUGGGAUACCACCCUGGCGGUAUUGAAA